rnacentral:lncRNA from 1 species
UAUGGAUAAACCCAUGAUACCAUUUCGUAAUUAAAAUAAUUGAUCAGGUUUUGACAAAAUUAUCAAGGUCAGGAGGGAUGUGGGAGAACCCAGGAAUUUUCUUAGGUUAGAGAGACAUGGGAGAGAGAUGCAAAAUUCAUCAUGGAAAAGGAAAAAAAUAGGCAUUCAGGGAUGGGAGAGAUCUAAUAGUGUAUCUAUUUAGCUUACAGAUUUUCAUUUUGACUUCUUGAUUUUGAUAAUUCUCUUGUGGAAAGAGAACAAUGUAGGGCUUUGUGAACUUCCAAUAAUUUUUGCACAAUUGUAUAUUAAAAUGAUUUUCAAGAUAAAGGAGCAUGGUAGUUAAGGUGUUAUUCUUCUCGUAUGACAGAGGGUGAACCUGGAGCACAAAGAGAUCAAACAAGUCAUCAAGAUCAUAGAGUUGGAGAAGUGAUGAGCAGGUGAUUUCACCACCACUGAGGCCCAUGGAACAGCUGCAGAAAUGGGAGCUCAGAAAAAUUCUGGCUGGUGAUGUUUGUUGUCAUCAGAAGAUCUGGUAAAUUUUUCAAAAUAGAGUAAUAGAAAAACUUUUCAAAAUAUAGUAAUAGAAAAAAUUUUCUAACCAUGCUUUGUAACUGUACAGAUGCCUGUGAAUUAUAUAACACACUCCCCCAAAAAUGUUUAAUAUAAAAACAGAAUUCUGUGUAUACAUCUGUGGGUCUUUGACAGUGGGGGUGCCUUGUCUGGGUCUGGGUAGAAUGGCAGUGAUACUGAGACAGAGCAGGAAUGGAUUCAGCAAUUUGACAGGAUGAAUAUGUGUUCAUCAUGAAAUAAUGACAACUUCAAAUUGGUUGCAUGCUUUGUCUUUGGGUUAUUUUAUUAUCUAUCAAUUUAUUUUAGUACCUACAAAAGGUCUGAAAUUUUAAAUAUGGUAGAAACUAAUCUUUAAACCUUGGUCAGGUUUAGGCUUCUGAGACCUGAAAGCCCCCAUACAGGUGAUAGACUUCCUCCAACAAAGUCACGCCUACUCCAACAAUAGUUUGAGGUGUUGGAGUCAGCUGAGAGAACUGUAUGCAUAGGAUAUAGAGAAAUGAAUAGCUAGAAUCAGAAUCAUAACUCCCAAACAAAUGUUUGAACUCGGAGAAGACCAAAAUUCAGUACCAACUCUCUUGAUCUUCAGUCAUAUGGAAAGAUUUCUAAGAGAUGGGAAUCCCCAAACUCAAGCCAUAUGCAUUCCAAGGGCAUUCUUGUACUUGCUAUACUAGAUAGAAGCAUUGAUUGGUUAUUUUAAGGCAGCACCUAUAGAAGCUGUUACCCACUCAAAUGUAUUAUCAAUAAAUCAUUUUUAUUUAGCUGUUUCUACUGACUAUGAGAAAAUUGUUUCCAGUAGUGUAGUCGAUUUCAAGACAUUAAAUGCUUGGUGGUUGUAUCCCCUUUGAAUAAUAUGAAGAGUCAUUGUAUUAUGGGCCAGUGAUUUGGUAAAUUUAAUUAUGUAAAUCAAAGCUUUUUUGACACUUAGACAUGCAAAAAGACCAUAGGGCUAUUGAAUGUUUAUGGACAUUCUAAGCACUUAAUUUUGUUCAUCAAUUAAAGCUUUCUCUUGUGUAGAUAGCUUGGUAAUGGAUGAGGAUGUAUAAUUUCUUUCCUUAUAAAUAUGAAAGUCUGAGUGAGUAAAGGCGC